rnacentral:rRNA from 1 species
UACCCGCAGCACAAGUGGUGGUCAUUAUUAUUGGGCCUAAAGCGUCCGUAGCUGGCCUGUUAGAUGCCUGGGUAAAUCGAUGCGCUCAACGUAUCGAACUCCGGGUAGACCGGCAAGCUUGGGACCGGGAGAGGCGUGAGCUACUCGAGGGGUAGGGGUAAAAUCCUGUAAUCCUUCGGGGAGGACCAGUGGCGAAGGCGUCACGCUAGAACGGCUCCGACAGUGAGGGACGAAGCCCUGGGGCGCAAACCGG